rnacentral:RNase_P_RNA from 1 species
GCGAGCCGGAGCGCGACACGCUGCCACGGCAGAGGAAACUCCUCCCUCCAGGCAGGAGGCGCGGCCCGGAGAUGGGCAGUCGGAGACGACUGGCGACGGCACAGAGACCAACCCGUUCGGCCACACGAUGAAGGCGAGGGCCGGAGGUUACCGAGAAGCGGGUGUGAAAAGGCCGACCCGCGCGGAGCAAGGCCAAACAGGACCAAUGGCAUCCUGCCGCCGGUCCAGGUGGGCUGCAUAGCGAAAUAUCGCGAAAACAGAAGGAGGGUUACUCCCGGCACGC